rnacentral:rRNA from 1 species
UACGAAGGCCCCAAGCGUUAUCCGGAUUUAUUGGGCGUAAAGAGCUCAACGGCGGUCUGGUAAGUUCCUGGUUAAAUCUCACGGCUCAACCGUGAGGCCGCUGGGAAAACUACUAGACUUGAGGUCGGGAGAGGCACAUAGAACUGCCGGUGUAGCGGUAAAAUGCGUUAAUAUCGGCAGGAAUACCAAAGGCGAAGGCAGUGUGCUGGAACGAACCUGACGCUCUAAGAGCGAAAGCGUGGGUAGCGAA